rnacentral:rRNA from 1 species
AUUGAACGCUGGCGGCAUGCCUUACACAUGCAAGUCGAACGGUAACAGGUCUCCGGAUGCUGACGAGUGGCGAACGGGUGAGUAAUACAUCGGAACGUGCCUAGUAGUGGGGGAUAACUACUCGAAAGAGUGGCUAAUACCGCAUGAGAUCUACGGAUGAAAGCAGGGGAUCGCAAGACCUUGUGCUACUAGAGCGGCCGAUGGCAGAUUAGGUAGUUGGUGGGAUAAAAGCUUACCAAGCCGACGAUCUGUAGCUGGUCUGAUAGGACGAUCAGCCACACUGGGACUGAGACACGGCCCAGACUCCUACGGGAGGCAGCAGUGGGGAAUUUUGGACAAUGGGCGCAAGCCUGGUCCAGCAAUGCCGCGUGCAGGAUGAAGGCCUUCGGGUUGUAAACUGCUUUUGUACGGAACGAAAAGCCCCGGGUUAAUACCCUGGGGUCAUGACGGUACCGUAAGAAUAAGCACCGGCUAACUACGUGCCAGCCGCCGCGGUAA